GGAAGGGUGCCGGAGCGGUUGAACGGGGCGGUCUCGAAAACCGUUGUAUGCUUUAAGGCAUACCGUGGGUUCGAAUCCCACCUCUUCCGCCA
rnacentral:tRNA from 1 species